UGCGUUCUUGACAUCCUGCGAACUUGGUAGAGAUACCUUGGUGCCUUCGGGAGCGCAGUGACAGGUGCUGCAUGGCCGUCGUCAGCUCGUGUCGUGAGAUGUUGGGUUAAGUCCCGUAACGAGCGCAACCCUUGUCCUUAGUUGCCAGCGGUCCGGCCGGGAACUCUAGGGAGACUGCCGGUGACAAACCGGAGGAAGGUGGGGAUGACGUCAGGUCAUCAUGGCCCUUACGGCCAGGGCUACACACGUGCUACAAUGGGGCGCACAGAGGGCAGCAAGCGCGCGAGUGCAAGCGAAUCCCUUAAAACGCCUCGUAGUCCGGAUCGGAGUCUGCAACUCGACUCCGUGAAGUCGGAAUCGCUAGUAAUCGCAGAUCAGAAUGCUGCGGUGAAUACGUUCCCGGGUCUUGUACACACCGA
rnacentral:rRNA from 1 species